GCGGGCCCGGGGCGCGCGCUGCUGAGGCGGGAGCUGCGGCUGCUCGAGUCCAUCUUCCACCGCGGCCACGAGCGCUUCCGCAUCGCCCGCGCCUGCCCGGACGAGCUGGGCUGCGAGUUCCUGCCCGGGCCGGCCGGGGGAGGGCCGGUCCGUAUCCAUGGCAACAUCACGGAGGCUUAUCCGGCCGUACCCCCCAUCUGGUCGGUGGAAUCCGACGACCCCAACCUGGCCGCAGUCUUGGAGAGGCUGGCCGACGUAAAGAAGGGCAACACGUUGCUCCUGCAGCACCUGAAGCGCA